CUAAGACUAUAAAUAUAGAAAUGCAACACUCGACCAUCUUCUGUUUCAUUCGGUCUACUAACUAUCGCACUCACACCAUCGAGUCAGUUGCGCGAACGCUUCACGUGUGGCAGGCGUGUUUUAUUUUGUUAUCGUGCAGAAAAUUUUAAAGAAUGUCCGGUUCACAAUCAACCAAACGAAAAACCUGGGAUGAAGAAAAAAUGGCACAAGCUAUAAAAUUCGUCCGGGAAAAGAAAAUGGGGUAUUUGAAAGCGGCACAGCAUUUUCAAGUGCCUAGGAAAAUGAUUUAGAAGAUGAAAAUAUGAAGAGACAAGAAAAAGAAAAUAAACUAGUCAAGACAAAGAAUAAGAAGAAAACUGCGAAGAGAAACAAACAAACGAAGAAAAAUAAGGAUGAUAGUGAAGAAGAAGACUCUGAGGAACAAGACGUUAUCCAGUUUAGUGAAGGUAGUGAACAAGAUGAGUUGAUGGACCAAGUACGCCUUGACUCUGCUGAUGCAGAAUGUAUGUUUUGUUCAAGUCUUUUUUCCAUGGAUAAAAGUGGAGAAAGCUGGAUUAAAUGCUUGAUGUGUGGGCUCUGGGCACAUUAUGAUUGUGCUGGUCCAGAGUUUGAUACUUGGAUCUGUGACUUUUGCAAGUAAUUAUGUAACUUCUUUCAUUUAUCACAAUAUGUUAUAUAUUCAUUUGAUUGAUCUCAAAGAUAUUAAUGUCCAUUUUUGUUAUUGUUACGUUGAUUUAUGCUUAUAUUCCAUAUAUGGGUACCUAUUCCAUAUUUGGUUACUCAUUUGUGAUUUUGUUUUUUGUGUUAGAUUUUAAUUUGAUUACUAAUAUAUUUGAUUAAAGGCUGUUAAUUACUACAUAUAAAUGUAUGACUGAUUAGUAAAAACAUUAAACUGGUUUAAUUUAUAUGAAGUUUUUUUUUUAUAUCCCAAAAACAAAAUGGUAUUCCAUAUUUGGUGACUUUCCUCUAC